CAGAGUUUAAUUCCGGCUCAGGAUGAGCGCCGUGGGGCGUGCCUAAUACAUACAAUUCGAUCGAACGGACGAGAAUCCUCCUUCUAUGAUGUUAGGCGCCGGCCGGGUGAGUAACCUGUGGAUAGCCUACCUAUAAGAGUGGAAUAACUUCGGGAACCCGGAUCUAAUACCGAAUAAUAUUUUGACCCCAAUGGUUCAAAAGUGAAAGCCGGUCUUGCUGUCACUAAUAGAUGGAUCCGCGGUGCAUUAGCUAGUUGGUAAGGUAACGGCUUACCAAGGCAACGAUGCAUAGCCGACCUGAGAGGGUGAUCGGCCACACUGGAACUGAGACACGGUCCAGACUCCUACGGGAGGCAGCAGUAGGGAAUCUUCCGCAAUGGGCGAAAGCCUGACGGAGCAACCCCGCGUGAGUGAUGAAGGUCUUCGGAUCGUAAAACUCUGUUAUUAGGGAAGAACAUAUGUGUAAGUAACUGUGCACAUCUUGACGGUACCUAAUCAGAAAGCCACGGCUAACUACGUGCCAGCAGCCGCGGUAAUACGUAGGUGGCAAGCGUUAUCCGGAAUUAUUGGGCGUAAAGCGCGCGUAGGCGGUUUUUUAAGUCUGAUGUGAAAGCCCACGGCUCAACCGUGGAGGGUCAUUGGAAACUGGAAAACUUGAGUGCAGAAGAGGAAAGUGGAAUUCCAUGUGUAGCGGUGAAAUGCGCAGAGAUAUGGAGGAACACCAGUGGCGAAGGCGACUUUCUGGUCUGUAACUGACGCUGAGGUGCGAAAGCGUGGGGAUCAAACAGGAUUAGAUACCCUGGUAGUCCACGCCGUAAACGAUGAGUGCUAAGUGUUAGGGGGUUUCCGCCCCUCAGUGCUGCAGCUAACGCAUAAGCACUCCCGCCG
rnacentral:rRNA from 1 species